rnacentral:snRNA from 1 species
GGAUGUGAGGGUGGUCUGGCUGCGACAUCCGUCACCCCACUGAUCGCCAGGAUUGAUUUGUCUGAUCGGGUGUCCCCUUCCUCCCUCACCAUUCCAUGUGUGUCCCUCCCCAAGCUGUGCACUCGGUUGGUCAAAGAGGACAACCUUCGCCGAGUAGAGGAGGACGGUCCUCGGUCAAGGGAAUACGAGUAGCUGUGCUCCCCUGCUAGAACCUCCAAACCAGCUCUCAGAAAAGGCAAAUCAUGGCUGGGCGUGGUGGUACACACUAAUCCCAGCACU